rnacentral:rRNA from 1 species
UACGUAGGGGGCAAGCGUUGUCCGGAUUUAUUGGGCGUAAAGAGCGUGUAGGCGGUUUGGUAGGUCCGCUGUGAAAACUCGAGGCUCAACCUCGAGACGCCGGUGGAAACCAUCAGACUAGAGUCCGGAAGAGGAGAGUGGAAUUCCUGGUGUAGCGGUGAAAUGCGCAGAUAUCAGGAGGAACACCUAUGGCGAAGGCAGCUCGCUGGGACGGUACUGACGCUGAGGCGCGAAAGCGUGGGGAGCGAACAGG